ACGGAGGAUCCGAGCGUUAUCCGGAUUUAUUGGGUUUAAAGGGAGCGUAGAUGGAUGUUUAAGUCAGUUGUGAAAGUUUGCGGCUCAACCGUAAAAUUGCAGUUGAUACUGGAUAUCUUGAGUGCAGUUGAGGCAGGCGGAAUUCGUGGUGUAGCGGUGAAAUGCUUAGAUAUCACGAAGAACUCCGAUUGCGAAGGCAGCCUGCUAAGCCGCAACUGACAUUGAGGCUCGAAAGUGUGGGUAUCAAACAG
rnacentral:rRNA from 1 species